rnacentral:rRNA from 16 species
CUUUGUGAUUCAUGACUGGGGUGAAGUCGUAACAAGGUAACCGUAGGGGAACCUGCGGUUGGAUCACCUCCUUACCUUAAAGAAGC